ACUGUCUCAUAAUAAUCAGCUAUAACAGCAAUUAGCGUAAUAAGUUUACACUCGUUAUCCAUCAGCAGUAUUGCAUAGCACAUGGUGGCAUGUAGUAUAAUGGUUAGAGAGAGAACUGCGCUUAAAACUGAGGUUUUAAAUUAGAUUCCCAGCUGGGUCCCUGCCGUUGUACCCUUGAGCAAGGUACUUAACCUGCAUUGCUUCAAUAAACAUUCAGCUGUAUAAACGGCUUGUAUGUAAAGAAUGCAAGCUGUGUAAGGAACUCUGGAAUCAAAUUGGCCCUUUGUCAAAUAGCAGCAGUGGCACUCUGCAAUUGCCCAGCAGUCAUGUUGGGUACCAUAAUAUUGCCCCAACUGUCUACUGGCCAAUUUGUCAGCCAUCAUCAAGACUAUGGUGAGACCCCAAAGGAAGAGAAGGGCCAGGUGAAGUGGACCGGCAGAGAUGACCUUGAGUGUGAGGUCGUAUGUUGGUUUCCAGCUGGAGCAAUUGCAGUUCUUUAAGUGUAAUGGGAUGUUAAUUGCUCUUAAUUAGACUCACUGAUGACUGAGCGAUGUUGUUCUAAAAUCAGAUUAGGGCAGAAAUAAAUGAGUGUGC